UACGUAGGGCGCAAGCGUUGUCCGGAAUUAUUGGGCGUAAAGAGCUCGUAGGCGGCUUGUUGCGUCGACUGUGAAAAACCACGUCUCAACCGUGGGACUGCAGUCGAUACGGGCAGGCUAGAGUUCGGUAGGGGAGACUGGAAUUCCUGGUGUAGCGGUGAAAUGCGCAGAUAUCAGGAGGAACACCGGUGGCGAAGGCGGGUCUCUGGGCCGAUACUGACGCUGAGGAGCGAAAGCGUGGGGAGCGAACAGG
rnacentral:rRNA from 1 species